rnacentral:rRNA from 1 species
UACGUAGGGUGCGAGCGUUAAUCGGAAUUACUGGGCGUAAAGCGUGCGCAGGCGGUGAUGUAAGACAGAUGUGAAAUCCCCGGGCUCAACCUGGGACCUGCAUUUGUGACUGGCGGGCUAGAGUAUGGCAGAGGGGGGGUAGAAUUCCACGUGUAGCAGUGAAAUGCGUAGAGAUGUGGAGGAAUACCGAUGGCGAAGGCAGCCCCCUGGGCCAAUACUGACGCUCAUGCACGAAAGCGUGGGGAGCAAACAGG